rnacentral:rRNA from 1 species
CCUACGGGAGGCAGCAGUGGGGAAUAUUGCGCAAUGGGCGAAAGCCUGACGCAGCGACGCCGCGUGAGGGAUGAAGGUCUUCGGAUCGUAAACCUCUGUCAGCAGGGAAGAACGGUAACUGUGCUAAUCAGCAGUGCAUUGACGGUACCUGCACAGGAAGCACGGGAUAACUCCGUGCCAGAAGCCGCGGUAAUAAGGAGGGGGCGAGAGUUAAUCGGAAUUACUGGGCGUAAAGCGCUCGUAGGCGGUAUGUCAAGUCAAGGGUGAAAGCCCCGCGCUCAACGUGGGAACUGCCUUUGAAACUGGCAGACUUGAGUGUGUGAGAGGAUGGUGGAAUUCCAGGUGUAGGGGUGAAAUCCGUAGAUAUCUGGAGGAACAUCAGUGGCGAAGGCGACUAUCUGGCACAUAACUGACGCUGAGGAGCGAAAGCGUGGGUAGCAAACAGGAUUAGAUACCCGUGUAGUC